CUGGGUCUUGGAUGUUUAUCUACAUAUAUAAGUAUUUAUUAUAUAAAAAUAUUAUUAUAUAAAAUACGGUAUCGUUGAGUUAGUAUCUCGGAACACAAAUUUCGAAUUUACUUAGAGGCUAACUCAAUCCGUGUAAAAAGUCCGGUAUAUAUUUUGAAAUUAAAAUAAUAGUUAUAAAGACUUUUAUGAAUAAUAUCAGCCAAAUCGAUUAAAACACAAUGAAAUCCUCGCUUUGUAUUCUGUGAUGAAAUCCUUUAGUUGAUGACAAUAAAUUCGAUUAUUUUUUAUCGUCCGGUGUAAUAGAAUGAACAAACAUUACGAUAAUACAUACUUAUAAAAAUAAGAUAAGUAUCUCUUUCUGUUUGUUUGUUUUUCCUUCACGUCAAAACGGGGCGACGGAUAUGUUAAUUUUAUGAGGAGAUAUUUUGGAACUCAUGAGAGACAUCGGCUGUUUUAGCAUUGCAUUUUGGACAGAAUAAAAGCUUUUAAAAAUAAGAAGAACAAUCGAAGAAGAAGUCGAGCGUAAACAAACCAUAAGCCUUGGUUACAGUUUACGUCAAAGACCUACAGUGCCCGGCACCAUACAUUUUACUUCUUCCCGGCGUUAAUCCUAGUUACAUCGAACCUCUCUGGACCUCGGGGUGCGGUUUAUGUUCACAGCUUACAGAAAGUUAUAAAAAUUAGCAUUACUCUAAUCUAUCUAAGAGUAUCCUGUUAGUAGAGCUUCAGAUAACCUUAAUCGUUAUUACUAACAGUUACCCGGGUUCACUCGUAAGAUCUGUCCACACCAUAAGGGAUAAAAAACGUGAUUAAAUGUAUGGACUCUAGUGUAUAUCUAGUAUAUGAUAAAAUUCAAAACACACUUACACCACCCGCUCCUUCAAUAUCUUAGCAUAGUCGUCAUUUCCCACGC